GGGCCCGCACAAGCGGUGGAGUAUGUGGUUUAAUUCGAAGCAACGCGCAGAACCUUACCUACCCUUAACAUCCCGGGACAAUCUCAGAGAUGAGACUUCCUCUUCGGAGGCUCGGUGAUAGGUGCUGCAUGGCUGUCGUCAGCUCGUGUCGUAAGAUGUUUGGUUAAGUCCAAUAACGAGCGCAACCCCUAUCCUUAGUUACCAUCAUUAAGUUGGGGACUCUAGGGAGACUGCCGGUGUUAAACCGGAGGAAGGCGGGGAUGACGUCAAGUCCUCAUGGCCUUUAUGUCUAGGGCUGCACACGUCCUACAAUGGUACGGACAAACGGACGCAAUACCGCGAGGUGGAGCAAAUCCUAGAAACCGUGCCUCAGUUCGGAUUGCAGGCUGCAACUCGCCUGCAUGAAGCCGGAAUCGCUAGUAA
rnacentral:rRNA from 1 species